rnacentral:tRNA from 1 species
UGUUCUGUGGCCUUGAGAGUUUAAGCGCCGAUCUAGAGAAUACGGAGUCGUGGGUUCGAAUCCCACCAGAUUUU